GAUGAAGAACGCAGCGAAAUGCGAUAAGUAAUGUGAAUUGCAGAAUUCAGUGAAUCAUCGAAUCUUUGAACGCACAUUGCGCCCGCCGGUAUUCCGGCGGGCAUGCCUGUUCGAGCGUCAUUUCAACCACCAAGCCCUGGGCUUGUGUUGGGGACCUGCGGCUGCCGCAGGCCCUGAAAUGCAGUGGCGGGCUCGCAAGACACACCGAGCGUAGUAGCUUACAACCUCGCUUUGGGAGUGCUGCGGGUGCUGGCCGUAAAGCGACCUUUGCGUCUUUAGCACUAGGUUGACCUCGGAUCAGGUAGGAGGACCCGCUGAACUUAAGCAUAUCAAUAAGCGGAGGA
rnacentral:misc_RNA from 1 species